CUGGAAUAUUUGUAUCUGAGUGACCUCCCUGGAAUAAGAGAGAAAGAAACUACUGCUCACGUCCUUCAGCAGGCGCUGCCCAACCUCGAGCUGGAGCUGGAUUUGGAAUAAACACCCCAGCGCAUAAUCAAGAUGUAUUUGACUUCACAGUAUUUAUUGGGUGUUGCAUAAAUUAAGUUGUAGACGCUGCUGUAUUUCCAGGUAUGGAAAUGAGCCCGGAUCUCCCAAUCCAGCCUUAAAAGCUGGAUCUUUUGACAAAUUAUGCAAAUUAUUUAUUAAACUUAAACUGUAUGGUAAAUCAACAGCGAAGGAGGUAGGUUUCUGUGCGUAGUCAGGUUUUUCCUGGUUUUAUAGGAAGCUGUUAAUACGUCAAUUAGGAGUUUUCACCUAUUUUAUCGCAUAGAAAUUCUCGUGCAAAACGACAGUGGGAAGACUGGGAGUGUUGUGAAAAGGCAGCGUUGGGCAUGUUUGCCGCGUGGUGUCGAGCCAUUUACUCGGAGAAUCUCACCCAGUUGGUGGAUGACAAUUUAAUAAAAUGGCUUUUGGGCCUUUUUUCUGCUCUUCACCCUUU